GGCCUCCAGUGAUGGAGGCAUGCCCUGGGAGGCCCAGGACUGGACUGGGAUGUAUUUGUACUGUCUGAUGGGCU
rfam:Neotoma lepida isolate 417 scaffold_1785, whole genome shotgun sequence.